UGUAAUAAUGGUUUCAGGAGUAGAAGUUACUGAUUCAUCACGUAGAUAUAAUACACAGUGCUUAUCACAAUUGCCUUCCUCAAUAUCCAUCACACAUUUAGCCUAUCACCUGCAUACCUCCCCUCCAGCUACCCUCAGUUAGUUCUCUAUACUUAAGAGUUUCUUUUGGUUUGCCUCCCUUUCUCUUUUUUUUUUUCUUUCUUCCCAGAUGGUCAUCUAUUUGUUUCUUUAAUUCCACAAAUGACCGAAAUCAUAUGGCAUUUGUCCUUCUCUAAAAGACUUAAUUCUCUUAGGAUAAUAUAACUCUAGUUUUAUAGAGUUUUAUAUUUGCAAUAUCCUUGCAAAUGGUACGAUUUCAUUCUUUUUGAUGGCUGAGUAAUAUUCCAAAUAUACAUACACACUACAUGUCUUUAUCCAUUCAUCAGCCCAUGAACAUUUGGGCUCUUUCCAUAAUUUGGCUACUAUUGAUAAUGCUGCUAAGAACAUCAGGUGCAUGUGUCCCUAUGAAUCAGUAUUCUUGUAUUCUUUGGUAAAUACCCAAUAGUGCAAUUGCUGGGUCAUAGAGUAGUUCUAUUUUCAACUUUUUGAGGAACCUUUACACUGUUAUCCAAAGUCGCUGCACCAGUUUGCAUUCCAACCAACAAUCUAAGAUGGUUCUCCUUUCUCUGCAUCCUCAUCAAUGCUUGAUGUUUUCUGUGUUGUUAAUUUUAGCCAUUCUGACAAGCAUAAGAUGGUAUUUCAUAAUGACUUUGAUUUGUAUUUCCCUGAUAAUGAGUGAUGUUGAGCAUCUUUUCAUGUCUAUGUUUGCCAACUAUAUGUCUUCAUGGAAAAAAUGUCUACUCGUGGGUUCUGCCCAUUUCAUAACUGGAUUAUUUGUUUUUAGGGUGUUCAGUAGAAGUUCUUCAUAUAUUUUGGAUACUGGUCCUUUAUCAGAUAUUUCAUUUGCAAAUAUCUUCUCCCAUUCUGUAGGCUGUGGGUCCUUCAUAUGUGGCCUUUAUGAUGUUGAGAUAUGUCCCCUCUAACCCUACUUUGUUAAAAAUUUUUUAUCAAGAAUGGAUGCUGUACUUUGUCAAAUGCUUUUUUCUGCAUCUACUGAGAGGAUCAUACAGUUCCUAUCCUUUCUUUUCUUAAUGUGAUAUAUCACAUUGCUUGAUUUGCCAAUAUUAAACCAUCCGAGCAUCUGAGGAAUAAAUCUCACUUGAUCAUGAUGAAUAAUUCUUUUAACAUACUGUUGGAAUGGAUUUAUUAGUAUCUUGUUGAGAAUUUUUGCAUCCAUGUUCAUUAGGGAUAUUGGCCUCCAAGUCUCCUUUUUAGUGGGGUCUUUGUCUGAUUUUGGAAUCAUGGUAAUGCUAGCCUUGUAGUCUGAGUUUGGAAAUUUUCCUUCCAUUUUUCUUUUUGGAACAGUUUGAGAAGAACAGAUGUUAAUACUUCUUUGAAUGUCUGAUAGAAUUCACCUAGGAAACCAUUUGGACCUGGACUUUUUGUUUGCUGGGAGAUUUUUGAUUACUAAUUCAAUUUCUUUACUGGUUAUCAGUCUGCUCAAAUUUUCUAUUUCUUCUUGCCUCAGUUUUGGUAGUUUAUAUGUUUCUAGAAAUUUAUCCAUUUCUUCCAUAUUGCUCCAUUUGUUGGCAUAUAAAUUUUCAUAAUAUUCUCUUAUAAUUGUUUAUAUUACUGUCCUAUCAUGUGUGAUCUCUCCUCUCAUUUGUGAUUUUAUUUACUUGGGUCCUUUCUCUUUUCUUUUUGAUAUGUCUGGCUAGGGGGAUAUCAAUUUUAUUAAUUCUUGGCACCCCUGGCUGGCUCAGUCAGCUAAGUAUCUGACUUUGGCUCAGGUCCUGAUCUCGGGGUCCUGGAAUGGAACCUCUCACCUCUUAUCAGACUCUCUGCUCAGCAGGAAGCCUACUACUUCCUCUCCCUCUGCCCUGUCCUCCACUCCUGUCACUCUCAUGCCACUCUCUACCUCUCUCUCUAAGUAAAUAAAUAAAAUCUUUUAAAAAUUUUAUUCAGUCUUUUAAAGAAUCAAUUCUUAGUUUCAUUAAUCCAUUCUAUUGCUUUUGUUUCUAUAUAAUUUAUUUCUUUUUUCCUUUUUAAGAAAACAUAUUUAUUUGGGAGAGGGAGAGAGAGAGAGAGAGCAUGUACAGGGGGAAGAGAAAGGGGAAGGAGCCCAACGAAGGGCUUGAUUCCACAACCUUGAGAUGAAGGCAGACACUUUAUGAACUGUGCCACCCAGGCACUCCACUAUAUCAUUUAUUUCUGCUCUAAUAGUUCUUAUUUCCCUUGUUCUGCUGGCUAUAGGCUUCAUUAGCUGUUUCUUUUCUAGUUGCUUUAGGUGUAAGGUUAGGUUGUAUAUUUGAGAUUGUUCUUGCUUCUUGGGGUAGGCCUGUAUUGCUAUAUACUUUCCUCUUACAGCCACUUUUGCUGUAUCCCAAAGGUUUUGGACUAUUGUGUUUCAUUUUCCUUGGUUUCCUUGUCUUUUUAAAAUUUCUUCUUAAUUAUCUGGUUAACCCAUCCAUUCUUUAGCAGAAUGUUGUUUAACCUCCAUGCGUUUGUGGUUUUAUCAAAUUUUUUUCUUGUGGUUUUUUUCAAGCUUCAUAGCAUUGUGGUCAGAAAAUAUGAAUGGCAUAUUGUACUUGUUGAGGCCUGCUUUGUGACCCAGUAUGUGAUUUAUUCUGGAGAAUGUCCCAUGUGCACUCGAAAAAAAAUGUUAUUCUGCUGAAAUGUUCUAUAUAUAUCUGUUAAGUCCAUCUAGUCUAGUGUGUCAUUCAAAGCCAUUAGUUCCUUGCUGAUUUUCUACUUAGAUGAUCUGUCCAUUGCUGUAUGUGAAGUGUUAAUGUCCCCUAUGAUUAUUGUAUUAUUAUCAAUGAGUUUCUUUAUGGUUUUUAUUAACUUAUUUAUUUGAAUGCCCCUAUGUUAGGAACAUAAAUAUUUUCAAUUGUUAGAUAUUCUUAUUGGAUAGACCCUUUAUUAUGAUAUAGUGCCUUUCAUCAUCUCUUGAGUCUUUGGUUUAAAAUCUAGUUUGUCUGGGGAUCCCUGGGUGCCUCAGCGGUUUGGCGCCUGCCUUUGGCC
rnacentral:lncRNA from 1 species